AUUGAACGCUGGCGGCAGGCCUAACACAUGCAAGUCGAGCGGAUGAAGGGAGCUUGCUCCUGGAUUCAGCGGCGGACGGGUGAGUAAUGCCUAGGAAUCUGCCUGGUAGUGGGGGAUAACGUCCGGAAAUGGGCGCUAAUACCGCAUACGUCCUGAGGGAGAAAGUGGGGGAUCUUCGGACCUCACGCUAUCAGAUGAGCCUAGGUCGGAUUAGCUAGUUGGUGGGGUAAAGGCCUACCAAGGCGACGAUCCGUAACUGGUCUGAGAGGAUGAUCAGUCACACUGGAACUGAGACACGGUCCAGACUCCUACGGGAGGCAGCAGUGGGGAAUAUUGGACAAUGGGCGAAGGCCUGAUCCAGCCAUGCCGCGUGUGUGAAGAAGGUCUUCGGAUUGUAAAGCACUUUAAGUUGGGAGGAAGGGCAGUAAGUUAAUACCUUGCUGUUUUGACGUUACCAACAGAAUAAGCACCGGCUAACUUCGUG
rnacentral:rRNA from 1 species